CAUUUUAAAAAGGAGGAAUAUUUGAUCAUGGUAUAAGGUUAGCGCUAAUAUUUUGUGUGCAUGGUAGUUUUUGCGGUUUGCUGAAAAUUAAACUUUAUUAUUUAAUAUAGCAAUGUGCGGUAUUACAGCAACCCAGCCGUAAAACAUUGAACAAUUCUUGAAAAAGAGAUUAAGAAAAUAUUGAUUAAGAAGUAGAAGGAAAUGGGGUGCCAGCACCUGCGGUUAAACCUCUUUUGCAAGUUAAUUGACGUCGUAAAGUAGAUUUUAUUUAUUAAUAAAUUCAAAUGACUUAUACUUAGGUAAAAUUUUAUAGGUCGUCGUUAAGUGGAAGUUUAUAGCAGAAGUUCUCUACGAAGCUUAGGUUUAAUGACCGGGAUCAGAGACCCCCAUUAAUUAAAGUGUGAAGAUAUUUUACGGGAACUACGGACAGUUGUCUAAAACCUAAAUGAAUUGGCGGUUCUAUAAACUCAGUUAGGGGAACCUGUAGCUUAAUCCGAUGGUCCACGUAAUACCUUACCUUAUUUUAGUUUUUACAUCGCCGUUGAGUUUUUCCUUAAAGGAAUGGAAAAUGGGCGUAAUUAUUAAGUCGUUAAUUAGCGAUUUGGUUUUAAUUCAGGUCGACAUGGAGCUGUAGUAAGGGGUUAUAUGGGUUACAAUUUUUUAGAAAAGUGGAUUUGAAGAGUUUGAAAUAGGCUUAUUGAAAUAGGACUUAAUAGUAAAUUUGUGUUAGAAUAGCAGAUUGAAUUGUGUUGAUAGUGCGUACAAAUUGCCCGGCGCUCCCACUUGCAGAGGGGAUAAGCCGUAACAUAGUAAGGCUACUAGAAAGUGGUCUUGAG
rnacentral:ncRNA from 1 species